rnacentral:lncRNA from 1 species
ACACACACAAACACACACAAUUCAACUCACGCAGCUGCGCCAUCCCCCCAUUUCGUCUCUCUCACACUCACAGUCACUCCCCACGCACACACACACACGCUGCAGCAGCGACCACCGGCGACACCGCGCCGCCGCUGCCGCCUGACACCCCCCGUAGAACUCUCCCUCUCCCUCAAAGCUCACGACACACACUCAGACACACAAAGCGGCGCAGCAGCACACUCCCCCUCCCCCUUCUUCCUUUCUCCGUUCACGCCACCCACCGUGGAGCUCGCCGGAGGAGCAGCAGCGACAAGCCGCGCUGACCGGUGACUCCGACUCUCGCUCUCUCGCUCGUUCUCCUUAACUCACGACACACACAAAGAUGUUCAAGAGAAUCAAGACUCAACACCCACAGUACAAUCGGCGGUGAUUGCCGCCCUCAAAGUGACGAGCAGCUCCCCCUUUUUCCAUCUACUACCGGCGACUGCUCGGCCAUGAACCCGUCGCCGCCGCUGUGUCUACAAACUCUGAGCCCCCGGCGAACAACAGCAGCAGACGAAGCCCACUGCCGCCGUCGAACGCCCUCUGAAACUCCCUCUCUGUCCACUCCCCUCCGUCCGUCCUUGGCUGGGCAGCAGCGGCACCGCCGCCGCCAAGCCCAACCUCCCUCAUCUCUCUCCGACGACGACGCAGCUACAGGCUACGCCUCCGCCUCCGGUCUCACCCUCACAUCCACCUUCCUCGAUCUCUUUCUUUCUCCAAGGCCCCUACUCUAACCACCCAUGUCUCCCUCACUUCUUCGAUUGAUUUCCCUCUUUUCCUUACUCAACCCAUCUCGACAGCCCAGACUCUACCCGACUCGACGAGUCUCAACAUCACAAAGAAAAUCAAUAUUCUUCCUUUACUAAUCCAUUCCUGCUAUUUCAUGCAUCAUGUAUCUACAGUUUUUCUACUUAAAACAUUCUUGGUUGCAUAAACAGAUUUAAAUGAUACACACUCCAAC